rnacentral:rRNA from 1 species
GGACUACAGGGGUUUCUAAUCCGGUUUGCUCCCCUGGCUUUCGCUCCUCAGUGUCAGUGUUGGUCCAGGAUGCCGCCUUCGCCACCGGUGUUCCUCCAGAUAUCUACGCAUUCCACCGCUACACCUGGAAUUCCGCAUCCCUCUCCCAAACUCAAGCCAUCCAGUAUCAGACGCAGUUCCCCAGUUAAGCUGAGGGAUUUCACGUCUGACUUAGUUGGCCACCUACGAGCCCUUUACGCCCAGUAAUUCCGAACAACGCUCGCACCCUCUGUAUUACCGCGGCUGCUGGCAC